UGUUGUCUCUGGGAGGUUCACAAAGCUCUCAGAUUUCGUCAAAAGUAUCUUAAAUUGUGUUCCGAAGAUGAACGAAGGUCUUACGGGUUUGGAACGACACGAGGCUG